rnacentral:rRNA from 2 species
GACGGGAGCUUGCUCCUUGAUUCAGCGGCGGACGGGUGAGUAAUGCCUAGGAAUCUGCCUGGUAGUGGGGGACAACGUUUCGAAAGGAACGCUAAUACCGCAUACGUCCUACGGGAGAAAGCAGGGGACCUUCGGGCCUUGCGCUAUCAGAUGAGCCUAGGUCGGAUUAGCUAGUUGGUGAGGUAAUGGCUCACCAAGGCGACGAUCCGUAACUGGUCUGAGAGGAUGAUCAGUCACACUGGAACUGAGACACGGUCCAGACUCCUACGGGAGGCAGCAGUGGGGAAUAUUGGACAAUGGGCGAAAGCCUGAUCCAGCCAUGCCGCGUGUGUGAAGAAGGUCUUCGGAUUGUAAAGCACUUUAAGUUGGGAGGAAGGGCAUUAACCUAAUACGUUAGUGUUUUGACGUUACCGACAGAAUAAGCACCGGCUAACUCUGUGCCAGCAGCCGCGGUAAUACAGAGGGUGCAAGCGUUAAUCGGAAUUACUGGGCGUAAAGCGCGCGUAGGUGGUUUGUUAAGUUGGAUGUGAAAG